GGACGAACGCUGGCGGCGUGCUUAACACAUGCAAGUCGAACGGAAAGGCCCUGCUUUUGUGGGGUGCUCGAGUGGCGAACGGGUGAGUAACACGUGAGUAACCUGCCCUUGACUUUGGGAUAACUUCAGGAAACUGGGGCUAAUACCGGAUAGGAGCUCCUGCUGCAUGGUGGGGGUUGGAAAGUUUCGGCGGUUGGGGAUGGACUCGCGGCUUAUCAGCUUGUUGGUGGGGUAGAGGCUUACCAAGGCUUUGACGGGUAGCCGGCCUGAGAGGGUGACCGGCCACAUUGGGACUGAGAUACGGCCCAGACUCCUACGGGAGGCAGCAGUGGGGAAUAUUGCACAAUGGGCGGAAGCCUGAUGCAGCAACGCCGCGUGCGGGAUGACGGCCUUCGGGUUGUAAACCGCUUUCGCCUGUGACGAAGCGUGAGUGACGGUAAUGGGUAAAGAAGCACCGGCUAACUACGUG
rnacentral:rRNA from 1 species